UACGUAGGGGGCUAGCGUUAUCCGGAAUUACUGGGCGUAAAGGGUGCGUAGGUGGUUUCUUAAGUCAGAGGUGAAAGGCUACGGCUCAACCGUAGUAAGCCUUUGAAACUGGGGAACUUGAGUGCAGGAGAGGAGAGUGGAAUUCCUAGUGUAGCGGUGAAAUGCGUAGAUAUUAGGAGGAACACCAGUUGCGAAGGCGGCUCUCUGGCCUGUAACUGACACUGAGGCUCGAAAGCGUGGGGAGCAAACAGG
rnacentral:rRNA from 1 species